GGCUCAGAUUGAACGGCUGGCGGCAUGCUUACACAUGCAAGUCGAACGGUAACAGGCCGCAAGGUGCUGACGAGUGGCGAACGGGUGAGUAAUGCAUCGGAACGUGCCCAGUCGUGGGGGAUAACGCAGCGAAAGCUGUGCUAAUACCGCAUACGAUCUAUGGAUGAAAGCGGGGGACCGUAAGGCCUCGCGCGAUUGGAGCGGCCGAUGUCAGAUUAGGUAGUUGGUGGGGGUAAAAGGCCCACCAAGCCAACGAUCUGUAGCUGGUCUGAGAGGACGACCAGCCACACUGGAACUGAGACACGGUCCAGACUCCUACGGGAGGCAGCAGUGGGGAAUUUUGGACAAUGGACGCAAGUCUGAUCCAGCCAUUCCGCGUGCAGGACGAAGGCCUUCGGGUUGUAAACUGCUUUUGUACAGAACGAAAAGGCCUCUAUUAAUACUGGGGGUUCAUGACGGUACUGUAAGAAUAAGCACCGGCUAACUACGUG
rnacentral:rRNA from 1 species